GACGAACGCUGGCGGCGUGCUUAACACAUGCAAGUCGAACGGAAAGGCCCUGCUUUUGUGGGGUGCUCGCGUGGCGCACGGGUGAGUAACACGUGAGUAACCUGCCCUUGACUUUGGGAUAACUUCAGGAAACUGGGGCUACUACCGGAUAGGAGCUCCUGCUGCAUGGUGGGGGUUGGACAGUUUCGGCGGUUGGGGAUGGACUCGCGGCUUAUUAGCUUGUUGGUGGGGUAGUGGCUUACCAAGGCGUUGACGGGUAGCCGGCCUGAGAGGGUGACCGGCCACAUUGGGACUGAGAUACGGCCCAGACUCCUACGGGAGGCAGCAGUGGGGAAUAUUGCACAAUGGGCGGAAGCCUGAUGCAGCAACGCCGCGUGCGGGAUGACGGCCUUCGGGUUGUAAACCGCUUUCGCCUGUGACGAAGCGUGAGUGACGGUAAUGGGUAAAGAAGCACCGGCUAACUACGUG
rnacentral:rRNA from 1 species